CGACAUGGGUCCAUGUGGAGUGAGCAUGGAGUGAGAUCCAGUCCAAACCUCUCUCAUGCUGCUGGUGUACUGGUAAGAAAAUGGAUAAAUACUUAAUGGACGGUAAAGGACAGUGAUGGCUCAGCUAAGACCCCUUCUGUUCCCUGAUUAAGCGGUGAUGGCUACUCCACUCCACUGCCACUCUCUCCUGACAUGAACUGAAGCCACGUCUCUUGUGCCCGCUCAUCCACUGUAAUAUCCUGUCCUCCGCUGGUCAAACCUCUGAACAGUUCAACUCAUGCCUCAUACCCUCAUUCAAUCACUGCUGUGAUCCCUUUUCCAUCACUGUUGAUACGGAGGUGGAGAUAACCCCAAGGUGCUCCCAUUGUUAUUGCUCCCCCUGAGAUUUGGAGAGGAAGAGCUAGCCAGGCAGACAGGGACGAAAAAUACAGCGGUGAACCCCAGCCAGUUUUAUAGAAGAGCACAAUAGCCGACUACUGAUGGGGCUGAACCCGUGAAAGAG